CAGCACCAGCACCAGCACCAGAACCAAACCCAUCCUCAGAAGCCUCAUUAGCACCAAACCUUAAAGUGAGAACGUCAAGCCCACCACCAGCAAGUGCACCAGCACCAGCCGCAAUUGCAACAAAACUAGCAAACCAAGUCCCAACAGAAAUGGAAAAGGCUGCACCGACCUCAGCCCCUGCAGCAGUAGCAGCUCAUAAUCAUCCUUUUACUAGCAAGCAAAUAUGGGAUAAAAGAGUGUUAGUAAAAGAGUAUAUAAUGCAGAAACUGGAGCCAGGGGAGGAUGAGAGGGCUCUUUCUCAAGUGAUAUCUGAGGCAAUUAGUCCAAGAAAAACUCCUGGUGAUGCAAGUGUGGUGGAGAAGGUGAAAGAAGCGGUAACAUCUUUGCUUCGGAAAGACGGGUCUCCCCAACGUGCAGUUUAUCAUUCAGCUCAGAACUCAUCAUCACAUAUUCCUAUCUCAAACAAUGCUCAUGAAGGUAAUUCCAGAAUUGUUGAGGAAGAAAAUCAUGGAAGAAUACUUCAGGCCAACUGAAAGAGGAAGUCAUUGGCUAAUAGAGAAGUUGUAUGUAACUGAUAAAGAGUUUACCAUGAGUACUUUCCUUGUUCCAAUAAUAAUCUGUUUCUUUCUGCAGCCCUACUAGUCCUAGAUUAAAAGAUGUGCAAAAACAAUCUCAUGAAUGUUACAUUUUGUUUUUGUUUUUGGUAAGUGCUUCAAUCUCCCAUUUUACAAUUUGGAUAUGCACUUGUUCUGAACUCUGCAUAAUUAUUAUCUAUUUCCAAUAACGAAAAACUCUAAAUUAACAAUUUUUGCUCGGAAGUAUCUGGCAAGUCCUGUAGAAGCUCUGGGUUGCUUCGGGUCAUGUAAUUGUUGAUUGGGAACCUAGCAAAGAUUUGCAGCCAUACAACUCAUAGGUGCGGGAGAUCAUCUUCUUAAUUAUGAAUUUUCUUAUUGACUUGGCCUGUAAAGCCCAUAAGAUAUAAUUUGUAAUAAAAAAUUAUAUAAUCGCAUUAUAAUAUUGUAAAAUCAAUAGAGUUUAGGAUUGUAAAAAUAUGAAAGGUUGUACUUUU
rnacentral:misc_RNA from 1 species